AUGGACAACAACACCGUCUCCGAGCCGGCUGCCCUUGCGGAGGCGGCCUUCGACCACUCAUCGACCAUCGUUGGAUCUUCCGAGGAGCGUGCUUUCUCCCUCUCCUGGGAGGAGAUCCACCCCGAGCACUUUGAUCGAAUGGCACUUGAACGGCCGUUCUCCGAGGACGAGAUUUGGCAUGCGAUCAAAGCCAUGCCCACGAGCAAAGCUCCCGGUCCGGAUGGGCUCUCCAUCGUGCAUGCUGCUGCUGGGAUACUGAAAAAGGUGAUCUUAAACAGACAGAAGGGUAAAAGCAGCCAAAAUUAG
rnacentral:rRNA from 1 species